AGCAACACAUUCAGCCACGCAGCUCCUCCUAGAGAUCUCGCGUGCACUUGGGAGCUGGCUCAAGUCCACAGGCUUGGGGCCAGAACAAACCGUGGGUGUUGUUGGCUACGGUUCUUGAACAAUCCCCACAGCCAGCUGAACAUUCACACAGAGAAGCAGGCUCAGCGGCACCCGCUUGUGCUACACCGCAGAAGAAGAGUGGCGGGUGUUCAGGGGAGAAACACCCAAACCAGGGGCCCUUCCGGUUCCUGGAAGGGCACCUGGUCAAGGAGACGUCACGAAAGACCAGCAGCCUAAGGAAGAGGUUUCUUCGCGACCCGGGAAACGGCAGCGACUCACGAAGUGCACUAGGAAGAAGGGAAGCUAAGCUGAAAAUGCCGGUGCAGAGUCAAGCAUUAAACACGGGCAAGCCUAGACACGGUCGUCGAGGUCAGCUUCCUUCCGGCAGCAUCUUUCCUACAGAGUCAGGAGCAGGUGCCUCUGUGGAGACAGACCGGAUGAGGACAGGAGGGAGAAGCCACCGUCCCACAGUGCACACACUCUUGGGAUUCACAAGUUUCGAAGAAGCAGCACAGAGGAGCCGUGGGGGGUACAAGUCCUUACCGCCCCUAGACCUUCGGUCUUCCUAAAGCGCUAUUCCUUAUGAAUGUAUCAGAAAAGUCGUUGUUGGUACCCACCGCCUCCCUCCAGAAUGCUGCCGCCAUCUUUAACCGCCACACCCCAUUGAUUCUCUUCAAUACAUGCUCUCUGUCGUCAGCCAACACAAUGUUUUUUUUUUUUUUAAUUGGUCACCUUUAGCUUCAAGCCAUGCAAAAGCUCCAGGCGGAGGACCUGGCUCUAGUGUUCUUGCCUCAAGGUCUCCCUAGCACCCUGGAAUAGAGUCCAGUCACCCAAACCUUCAGAAGCACGCAUGCAGGCAGGCUCAGAGAGCGUGGCCUGAGAGACUGUUGGCUACUCAGUGUCGACAGCUGAUGGGGGGGAAGUCCUUCUGUGUAUAUAGCUGAUAAAUAAAGCACUGUUGGAAGACA